rnacentral:rRNA from 1 species
UACGUAGGGUGCAAGCGUUAUCCGGAAUUAUUGGGCGUAAAGAGCUCGUAGGCGGUUUGUCGCGUCUGCCGUGAAAGUCCGGGGCUCAACUCCGGAUCUGCGGUGGGUACGGGCAGACUAGAGUGAUGUAGGGGAGACUGGAAUUCCUGGUGUAGCGGUGAAAUGCGCAGAUAUCAGGAGGAACACCGAUGGCGAAGGCAGGUCUCUGGGCAUUAACUGACGCUGAGGAGCGAAAGCCAGGGGAGCAAACGGG